rnacentral:rRNA from 1 species
GACGAACGCUGGCGGCGUGCUUAACACAUGCAAGUCGAACGGAAAGGCCCUGCUUUUGUGGGGUGCUCGAGUGGCGAACGGGUGAGUAACACGUGAGUAACCUGCCCUUGACUUUGGGAUAACUUCAGGAAACUGGGGCUAAUACCGGAUAGGAGCUCCUGCUGCAUGGUGGGGGUUGGAAAGUUUCGGCGGUUGGGGAUGGACUCGCGGCUUAUCAGCUUGUUGGUGGGGUAGUGGCUUACCAAGGCUUUGACGGGUAGCCGGCCUGAGAGGGUGACCGGCCACAUUGGGACUGCGGUACGGCCCAGACUCCUACGGGAGGCAGCAGUGGGGAAUAUUGCACAAUGGGCGGAAGCCUGAUGCAGCAACGCCGCGUGCGGGAUGACGGCCUUCGGGUUGUAAACCGCUUUCGCCUGUGCCGAAGCGUGAGUGACGGUAAUGGGUAAAGAAGCACCGGCUAACUACGUG